AACGAACGCUGGCGGCAGGCCUAACACAUGCAAGUCGAAACGCGAAAUCACCUUCGGGUGGUGGAGAGUGGCAGACGGGUGAGUAACGCGUGGGAAUCUACCUGAUGGUACGGAAUAACUCAGGGAAACUUGAGCUAAUACCCGUAUGUGCCCGAAAAGGGGAAAGAUUUUAUCGCCAUCAGAUGAGCCCGCGUCGGAUUAGCUAGUUGGUGGGGUAACGCCCACAAGGCGACGAUCCCGUAGCUGGUCUGAGAGGAUGAUCAGCCACACUGGGACUGAGACACGGCCCAGACUCCUACGGGUGGCAG
rnacentral:rRNA from 1 species